GGGCCAUGUCCGGCAAGGCGGGAGCGCGGACGCGGCUCGCGACGAGGAACGGGCCGUCCAGGGCUCUUGCUGCUUGUUUAAGUCCAUAAAGUCCUUUCUUGAGGUUGUACGUGA